GAAAAGACAGCCCUUUAUGAGAUAUGCCAUUCUUGGGGCAGAAGGAAAGAGCUAGACCCUGUUAACUUAAAUAACCUCCAUGGAUGUGGCAUACGCAAGUGCUCAAGCCAGACACAGGGUGUCACAGCACCUAGAUACAACAUGGCAACCAAGCAAGGCUAUUCCUCAGGAAAACUGUAAGGUAACAGCCAGUGUCAGUUGCCAAACACAUGAGUGAAGAAGCCUUCAUAUUAUUCCAACUCCAGCCUUAGAGCCUUCUAGCUGAGGCCCCUUCAUCACAGUAGAGG